rnacentral:lncRNA from 1 species
GGGAGGCUAAAGCAGAAAGAUAACAAAAUUUGAGGCCAGGCAACAUAGCAAGACCCUGUAUAAAAAAAAAAAAAAUUGGCCUGAUUGGGUGGUACACACCUGUAAUUCCAGCAAUUCAGGAGGCUAAGGGAGGAGUAUUUCAAGUUGAAAGCCAGUCUGGGCAAUUUAGCUAGGUCUUGACUCAAUAAAAAAUAAAAAGGGCUGGAAACAUAGAUCAGAGGUUGAGCGCCCCUAUGUUCAACCCCCAGUACCAUAAAAGUUUUUUGUUUUUUUUUCAAAUUUGUGGUUUUUGGGGUACCGGCGAUUAAACUCAGGAGCACUCAACCACUGAGCCACAUCCCCAGCUUUAUUUCGUAUUUUAUUUAGAUACAGGGCCUCACUGAGUUGCUUAGUGCCCCGUUAAGUUGCCGAGGCUGGCUUUGAACUCGAGAUACUCCUUUCUAACCAGUGGGAUUACAGGUGUGAGCCACCCGGCCCGGCAUUAAAAUUUUUUUGAGACUAGAAAAAGAAGAAGAUACUGCUUGGAUUAUUUAAAAAAAAAAACAAAACAGUGCAAGGUAAUUUGGGGUCCUGGUCACCCAAGUCCUUGGGUAAAUAGUCUCAAGCCUACCAGAGGAAACUCAAUAACUCAAUUCCUCUUCCUUCAGAAGAAUAGUUAGCAUUUAUUGACCCCUGCAUCUUUUAAAUUUUAACUUUUUAUGGUACAGGGGAUAAAAUCUAGGGUAUAGUGCAUGCUAUGGAAGUGUUCUACCACUGACUACAUUCCCCUCCGGUACCCUGCUUUCCUUGAAUUUAGACAAUCUGGUUCUCAGAUAAGAGGGAAUGCUUUUUUAAAAGAAAGAAUCCUCCUUUUUUUGUAGAUUUUUUUUUUUUUACUUUCAGAAGUAUAAAUACCAUUAUGUCAGAAUAUUGGAAUUUAAAGAGUGUUGGGGAGCAUCUCAAAUUCAGCCUAACAUCCACCAGAGGCUUCACCAGGUGCUCUGUAUAUGCAGGAAUUCACUGUGGUUCACAGUGUGCUUCUGAGCUUGGUAGUGUCAGAAACCACUUUAAUUUUUUGGCAUUCAGACCAACACUAACCCAGUUCACCAAAAUUAAUGCAGAACCAGGAGGCCCUCCAUGUCUUCACUUAUAAACAGAAUGUAAGGUCUCCCAAUAUCGGGAGGACAUCUCCAAUCUACAUAGACAGCCCAGCCACAAUUCCACAAUUGCUUGGUGCACGGAGAAGAAUGAUAAGAACAGAAGCCAUCAAUCACUUAAAGAGUAUUCAAAAAUUAAUAGAAAAUGGUCUGGGGAUUUAGCUCAGUGGUAGUGUGUUUUAGUCAGCUUUUUCCUUACUAUGACCAAAAAACCUGACAAGAAUAAUUUUAAGAAGGAAAACUUUAUUUGGGGUUCACAGUUUCAGAGUUCUCAAUCCACAGAAGGCUGAAUCCAUUCCUCAGGGCUCAAACCGAGGCAGAACAUCAUGGCAGAAGGAUGUGCUGGAGGAAAGCAGUUCAGAACAUCACCAGGAAGCAGAGAGAGACUCCACUCACCAGGGACAAAAUAUAUACUCCAAAGGCAGACCCCAAUCACACCCCACCUGCCUUUAGUUACCACUCAGUUAAUACCUAUCAGGGGAUUAAUUCACUGACUGGAUUAAAACUCUCAUAAACCCAAUCACUUCACCUCUAAACCUUCUUGCAUUGUCUCACUUUGGGGGGGACACCUCACAUCUAAAUCAUAACAUAGGACACUUGCCUAACAUGUGAAACUCCCUGGAUUCAAUCCCCCCAUAAUAAUAACAAUAACAAUAAUAAAAAAUAAAAACAUUAAUGGUGAUAGUUAGGCCUGGUCAAAUGGGCCCAUUUCAAUCUCACAAUUUCACCAUGAAAGAAAUAUCCUAUUCUCCCUUUUAUUUGUGAGAAUACCGACACACUGUACUCAUAAAUUCUAAGAGGUAUGGUUUUUCAGAUUUGAAUUGUCCUGCAAAGUAUAUUCUAUAAUUUCCAGGCGUGGUGGCACACACCUGUAAUCCCAGCAGCUCGGGAGGCUGAGACAGGAGGAUUGCGAGUUCAAAGCCAGUCUCAGCAAAAGCGAGGCGCUAAGCAACUCAGUGAGACCCUGUCUUUAAAUAAAAUACAAAAUAGGGCUGGGGAUGAGGCUCAGCAGAUGAGUGCCCCUGAGUUCAAUCCCCAGUUUCCUCCUGAAAAAUUAUUAUUAUAUCCUAUAAUUGAUUGUAACACUUGAUAAAAAAUGAGUUUUUACUUAUUCAGUCAUAAAAUAUUGUGUGUUUGGCAUGAGCUUGGUAUGAUACAAGUUUGAUGGAGAAAGCAGUGUAUAACACUGAGGACCCUACUAAGUUCAUAAUUCAGUGGAGGAGACCACAAAUCAGCAAAUAAAUCAACAAAAUGUCAACUUGUGGAUGUUGCUAUGAAGAAAAUAAGUAUGAAAAAGAGACAAUGGGGAACAGGGCCAGGCAGUGACAUAAACCUGUAAUCCUAGUGAGUUGGGAGGCUAAGGCAAGAGGAUCACAAGUUUAGGGUCAAUUUGGGCAACUUAGAGAUACCUGCCUCAAAAUUAAAAAUAAAAAAAUGGCUGGGAAUAUAGCUCAAUGGUAAAAUGACCCUGGGAUUAAUUCCCAAUACAAAAAAAAAAAAAAAAGGUGGGGGACAGGGAACACAGGGACUCAGGAGUGUCUGAGGGGUGAUAAUGGAGCUGAGAUCCAAGAGCAGAGACUUCACUGUGGGCUACAGAGGUACUAGGAGAAAAGGUCCCCUCAUCUCUAGGGAUCAGUGUCCUUUGCUGGGAGCAGCUCCAUAUGGGGCUCCUUGGAGGACAGUCUGGGCAAAGAGGAGAGGGCCUAAUCAUGUCCCUUGGUCUACAUAGUGCUAAGCAGAUCCACCACUCAUUGUUCCCUGUAAAGCACUGAGCACAGAUGAGGAAGCACCCAGGCCUCUGGACCCCUGCCUUAGUCCUGCAAGGCAGAGUCUACCUAUCAUGGCCAAGGAGCCUGAGAAAUUCCCUUGCCAGGUGUCCAAAGAACACUGGAAACACCCCAAAUGUAGCCAGUCAGAUUGGAGACAAGGGGGCUGAACAGGACUCCUGGCGCAGACCCAAAUUUCUGUCCCCCGACCAGGUACUUCUUUCCGUUUGUAGUUUAUAGGCCCUUUUGGCAACUGCAGGGUGACUGCUUAGCACUCUGCAAUUUGAGCCACAUCAUUAUUUCUAAUUAAACUCUUUAAGUUUAAUUGGCUGUGGCUCAGCGGUAGUGCACUUGCCUGGCACAUGUGAGGCACUGGGGUCGAUCCUCAGCACCACAUAAAAAUAAAUAAGCAAAAUUAAAAAAUAUAUAUUUUUUUAGAAAGAAAGAAUUUUUUUGUUGUAGUUGUUUUGUAAUUUUUUCUGGCUGAAAUGAUUCUCCUGCCUCAGCCUCUGGAAUAGUUGGGAUAACAGGUAUGUGCCAUUGCAACUGACAAGAAUUUUAAAUAUAGAACUUCAACUGUUAUACAUUUUUGUUAUUGUUCUUGUUUUUGGUACCAGGGCUUGAACCUAGGGGGCACUUUACCACUGAGCCUCAUCCUCAGCCUUUUUUUAAUAUUUUAUUUAGAGAUAGGGUUUUUUUUUAAAAUAUUUUUUAGUUGUAGAUUGACACAAUACCUUUAUUUAUUUAUCUUUAUGUGGUGCUGAGAAUUGAACUCAUGCUUCACCUGUGCUAGGCUAGUGCUCUACCACUGAGCCACAACCUCAACCCCUAGAGAUGGGGGUCUUACUAAGUUGCUUAAGGCCUUGCUAAGUGGCUGAGAGCCUGGCUUUGAACUUGUGAUCCUCCUGCCUCAGCCUACAAUCCAAAACAGCUGGAAUUACAGGCAUGUGCUACCACACCCAGUUUGUUAUGUUUUAAAUGACUGAAAAAUUUUUUAUCACCUAUUUGUAUGAGCAAAGUCAACGACAGGAUUGUCACAAAUUUGAAGAGAUAUUCAUUGUAAUUUUUUUGGUAGUGGUCCUGGGGAUCAAACCCAAGGCCUCAUCCAUGCUAGACAAGUGCUCUAUUACUGAAUUACAUUCCCAGAGCCUCAUCAUUACAAAGUCUUUUGUUUUGUUUUGUUUUUGGAAUGGGGAUUGAACCUAUGGGUGUUUUACCACUGAGCUACAUCCCCAACCCUUUUUGAGUCAGGAUCUCACUAAAUUGCUUAGGGCUGGGUAGUCGUACACACCUAUAAUCCCAACAAUUUAGGAAGUUAAGGCAGGAGGAUCAGAAGUUCAAAACCAGCCUAGGGGGGGUUUAGCAACACAGCAAUUUAGC